rnacentral:rRNA from 1 species
GAUCAUGGCUCAGGAUGAACGCUAGCUACAGGCUUAACACAUGCAAGUCGAGGGGCAGCAUGAACUUAGCUUGCUAAGUUUGAUGGCGACCGGCGCACGGGUGAGUAACACGUAUCCAACCUUCCGUUUACUCAGGGAUAGCCUUUCGAAAGAAAGAUUAAUACCUGAUAGUAUGGUGAGAUUGCAUGAUAACACCAUUAAAGAUUUAUCGGUGUACGAUGGGGAUGCGUUCCAUUAGGUAGUAGGCGGGGUAACGGCCCACCUAGCCUACGAUGGAUAGGGGUUCUGAGAGGAAGGCCCCCCACAUUGGAACUGAGACACGGUCCAAACUCCUACGGGAGGCAGCAGUGAGGAAUAUUGGUCAAUGGACGAGAGUCUGAACCAGCCAAGUAGCGUGAAGGAUGAAGGUCUUACGGAUUGUAAACUUCUUUUAUAAGGGAAUAAACCCUCCCACGUGUGGGAGCUUGUAUGUACCUUAUGAAUAAGCAUCGGCUAACUCCGUG